AAAACCGAACACUACAAGUAAAAUAGUUUUUUUGAUUUGAAAACACUCAAAAAUGAAAAAUAGCUCAUUGUACUUUAAUCGUCUGUGUUACUUGAACAACAUUUUACUUUUAAGUUGACAGCACUCGUCCGCUUUAAGUAAUUUGAAAAAAUAGAAUGCGUGGGAACAGAUUUGUAGGCGGAUCUUCUGCCAUGGAUCUUGAGCACGACAAGCGAAGCGACGCAUAACGGUCGACCACCAGAGAAGACACGAAAAGAAGGGGCACAGGAGAAAAUACAACGGGACGACGAGAAGAGAAAGCCGCAAUUAAACAGAUCCUCGGAUGUAAAUAUCCAACGUGCUGUGGCGCUCCGUGGCCUUCCUUUCUACCUCCAUGAAGAUGAUGCAACUUUUAUAAAGACAUGGGAUGGAUCCUCGGAUGUAAAUAUCCAACAUAGUGUGGCGCUCCGUGGCCUUCCUUUCUACCUCCAUGAAGAUGAUGGCACUUUUAUAAAGACAUGGGAUGUACAGUCUCUCAAUCGGAGUUCAAGAUGAGGAAACCCAGCCCGAUUUGUCGCCGAUUGGAUCUCGCUCUGCAGGCUGGAAUCCUGCACAUUUAUCUCUUCUGCUUCCGUUCCACUUUUGCUGGAACCAAUCACAUCCUGGCUUAUCCAUCAGACGCACCAGGAUCGUCGUUUGAUUGGUUGAAGGACUAUCCAAGCGUACAGAGACAUUUGAACUAUGCAAAUUCAUCACGCCUCUUGUCCAGUAGAAAUACAGCGCAGACUCCCCAGACAAAUGUUCAAUCUCAAAAGACUGAGCUUGGUGAUAGCCAGCCUAUGAACUCCAAUGUUUUUAUAAUGUAUUCAUUAAUUGUUCCCUGAACAUAUUCGAUGAUUUGUUGAUGGUUGAAGUUAUUGUCCAAUGUUUUUUUUUUAUUAUUAUUUUAAUACUAUCAUCUCCUACCAUCUUCUAUCUCAUUUCUCAAAUUAGAGGUGGAUAAACUGUGUUUAUUUGAAUUUAUCCUCACUACAGCCUUGAUCUGAACUCCAAUCUGUACUUGUUUUCAUGGUUUACAUUAAAAGAUUAAGUAGAA